UACGGAGGGUGCGAGCGUUAAUCGGAAUUACUGGGCGUAAAGCGCGCGUAGGCGGUUUGUUAAGUCAGCUGUGAAAGCCCCGGGCUCAACCUGGGAACUGCAGUUGAUACUGGCCGACUGGAGUGCGAGAGAGGGAGGUAGAAUUCCAUGUGUAGCGGUGAAAUGCGCAGAUAUCAGGAAGAACACCCGUGGCUAAGGCGGCUCUCUAGUACGGUACUGACGCUGAGACGCGAAAGCGUGGGGAGCGAACAGG
rnacentral:rRNA from 1 species